rnacentral:rRNA from 1 species
CCUACGGGAGGCAGCAGUGGGGAAUAUUGGACAAUGGGCGAAAGCCUGAUCCAGCAAUGCUGCGUGAGUGAUGAAGGCCUUAGGGUUGUAAAGCUCUUUUACCCGGGAUGAUAAUGACAGUACCGGGAGAAUAAGCCCCGGCUAACUCCGUGCCAGCAGCCGCGGUAAU